rnacentral:rRNA from 1 species
UAGGGAAUCUUCCACAAUGGACGCAAGUCUGAUGGAGCAACGCCGCGUGAGUGAAGAAGGUCUUCGGAUCGUAAAGCUCUGUUGUUGGUGAAGAAGGAUAGAGGCAGUAACUGGUCUUUAUUUGACGGUAAUCAACCAGAAAGUCACGGCUAACUACGUGCCAGCAGCCGCGGUAAUACGUAGGUGGCAAGCGUUGUCCGGAUUUAUUGGGCGUAAAGCGAGCGCAGGCGGAAUGAUAAGUCUGAUGUGAAAGCCCACGGCUCAACCGUGGAACUGCAUCGGAAACUGUCAUUCUUGAGUGCAGAAGAGGAGAGUGGAACUCCAUGUGUAGCGGUGGAAUGCGUAGAUAUAUGGAAGAACACCAGUGGCGAAGGCGGCUCUCUGGUCUGCAACUGACGCUGAGGCUCGAAAGCAUGGGUAGCGAACAGGAUUAGAUACCCUGGUAGUCCAUGCCGUAAACGAUGAGCGCUAGGUGUUGGGGACUUUCCGGUCCUCGAGUGC